rnacentral:rRNA from 1 species
GAUGAACGCUGGCGGCGUGCCUAAUACAUGCCAGUCGAGCGAACAGACGAGGAGCUUGCUCCUCUGACGUUAGCGGCGGACGGGUGAGUAACACGUGGAUAACCUACCUAUAAGACUGAGAUAACUUCGGGAAACCGGAGCUAAUACCGGAUAAUAUAUUGAACCGCAUGGUUCAAUAGUGAAAGACGGUUUUGCUGUCACUUAUAGAUGGAUCCGCGCCGGAUUAGCUAGUUGGUAAGGUAACGGCUUACCAAGGCAACGAUGCGUAGCCGACCUGAGAGGGAGAUGGGCCCCACUGGAACUGAGACACGGUCAAGACUCCUACGGGAGGCAGCAGUAGGGAAUCUUCCGCAAUGGGGGAAAGCCUGACGGAGCAACGCCGCGUGAAUGAUGAAGGUCUUCGGAUCGUAAAAAUCUGUUAUUAGGGAAGAACAAAUGUGUAAGUAACUAUGCACGUAUUGACGGUACCUGCUCAAAAAGCCACGGCUAACUACGUG